AACUUCUUUAUCACCGAGUGCUUGCACUCACCGAUAAACAGUUGAGUGGGGAACGGGUGAGUAACAUGUGGGCAACCUGCCCAAAAGAGGGGGAUAACACUUGGAAACAGGGGCUAAUACCGCAUAACCAUAGUUACCGCAUGGUAACUAUGUAAAAGGUGGCUAUGCUACCGCUUUUGAAUGGGCCCGCGACCCAUUAGCUAGUUGGUGGGGUAAAGGCUUACCAAGGCAAUGAUGCGUAGCCGAACUGAGAGGUUGAUCGGCCACAUUGGGACUGAGACACCGCCCAAUCUCCUACGGGAGGCAGCAGUAGGGAAUCUUCCACAAUGGGCGAAAGCCUGAUGGAGCAACGCCGCGGGGGUGAAGAAGGUCUUCGGAUCGUAAAACCAUGUUGUUAGAGAAGAAAGUGCGUGAGAGUAACUGUUCGCGUUUCGCCGGCAUCUAACCCGAACGCCCCGGCUAACUACGUGCCAUCAGCCGACGGUAUACGAAGGUGGCAAGCGCUUUCCGGAUUUAUUGGGCGUAAAGGGAACACAGGCGGACUUUUAAGUCUGAUGUGAAAGCCCUUCGGGUUAAGCCGGAGUAAUGAAUUGUAAACUGGCAGACUCUGACUGCAAAGAGGAGAGUGGAACUCCAUGUGUAGCGGUGAAAAGCGUAGGUAUAAGGAAGAAAAGCCAGUGGCGAAAGCGGCUCUCUGGUCUGUAACUGACGCAGAGGUUUGAAAGCGUGGGUAGCAAACAGGAUUAGAUACCCGGGUAGUCCACGCCGUAAACGAUGAAUGCUAAGUGUUGGAGGGUUUCCGCCUUUCAGUGUUGCAGCUAACGCAAUAAGCAUUCCGCCUGGGGAGUACGACCGCAAGGUUGAAACUCAAAGGAAUUGCCGGGGGCCCGCACAAGCGGUGGAGCAUGUGGCUUAAUUCGAAGCAACGCGAAGAACCUUAUCAGGUCUUGACAUCUUUUGACAAUCCUAGAGAUAGGACUUUCCCUUCGGGGACAAAAUGACAGGUGGUGCAUGGUUGUCGUCAGCUCGUGUCGUGAGAUGUUGGGUUAAGUCCCGCAACGAGCGCAACCCUUAUUGUUAGUUGCCAGCAUUAAGUUGGGCACUCUAGCAAGACUGCCGGUGACAAACCGGAGGAAGGUGGGGAUGACGUCAAAUCAUCAUGCCCCUUAUGACCUGGGCUACACACGUGCUACAAUGGACGGUACAACGAGUCGCAAGACCGCGAGGUUUAGCAAAUCUCUUAAAGCCGUUCUCAGUUCGGAUUGUAGGCUGCAACUCGCCUACAUGAAGUCG
rnacentral:rRNA from 1 species